CACACGUGACAUGGCAUUCCCGCAUCUGCGCACGCGCCCGCGCUCGCUCUCACCUCAUGCUUGUGGUUGAAUACAAAUGAUCAACAUAAUUAAUGGACAACUAGGCUAUAUCAGGGAAAACACAUCAGCGCAGUCCGGCGUAGAGAAAAGAAAAAGAAAAAGCCCAAGAUGAAGCCCGUGCAUCACUUUCAGUAUUCUCAGAGAACAGCCUGAUGUUACAGCAGUUCAUUUCAGUGAGAUCGAGGAAUCAUCCCAAAGGAAGCACUUCACUACCUGUAUGGAUAACUGAAGACUCAGGUCAUUUCCUGUUGAUACGGCAUCAUCACGGUAGUUCUCUUACUGAUUUUGAGGGAGCAAUGUCCACUCAACAUGUACAGUAACCUUCACACAACAGCACUAACAUUCCCCUUCAUGUACAGGUGCAAAGCAUCCUUCCAUUUUCAUAAAGUCACAAACAGAUCAAAAACUCCAUAUGUGAAGUGUCUGGUGAAGCUUUGUGGUCUGGCUGAAUUUGGCAGAGCACUAACAGAACAUGAAAUUGUCUGCAUUACUGUUGCCGCUCAGAUGGCGAGGAGUAAUUCUCAGUGCAGGGUGAUGCUGCUAAAGUUCUUCAUGAACUACCUGACUACAGAGGGAUAUUCACAGGUUUACAAAGCCAUGGCCGACUAAACAGAAGAUGGUUGAGGGACACACAGAAGCUCCCAUCAAGUAUAAAGACCUUUAACUCUCCAGCAGUUACAGCAUUACAGAGACUAAGAAUGAGGAGAUGCCAGCCAGAUGUGAAAAUAAAUGAGUUCCUUUUUUUGUCAUUUGCUUGUUUGUAUUUCUUAUUAUUGUUUAUUUUUGAUCUUCUCUGGGAAAAGAGGUCUGAAUGAUGCAGAUGACAUAAAAGCAUACCACUAGAUGGCAGUAACAACUAUA